GGUCAAGCUACUAAGGGCAGACGGAGGAUGCCUGGGUACCGGGAGGCGAAGAAGGACGCGGUAAGCUGCGAUAAGCUUCGGGGAGCUGCUAACAGGCUUUGAACCGGAGAUUUCCGAAUGGGGAAACCCGGCCAGGGUUAUACCUGGUCAUCGUGCACUGAAUACAUAGGUGUAACGAGGCGAACGCAGGGAAUUGAAACAUCUAAGUACCUGCAGGAGUAGAAAUCAAUUUAGAGAUUCCGUCAGUAGCGGCGAGCGAAAGCGGAACAGCCCAAACCGAGUCAUUUAUGGCUCGGGGUUGUGGGGCCCCGAUAUGGGAUUGCGAAUGGAUAGCAGAAGGGUAUGGAAAGGCCCACCACAGACGGUGAUAGUCCGGUAUGCGAAAUCUUGAAGCACCCUAGGGUGUCCCCGAGUACCACGAGGCACGUGAAACCUAGUGGGAAUCUGGGAGGACCAUCUUCCAAGGCUAAAUACUACCCGGUGACCGAUAGUGAACUAGUACCGUGAGGGAAAGGUGAAAAGAACGGGGGGACCCGAGUGAAAUAGAACCUGAAACCGUCUGUCUACAAGCAGUGGAAGCACGAUGUCGCAAGACCGUGUAACCGCGUGCCUUUUGCAUAAUGAGUCAGCGACUUACCCUAUGCAGCGAGGUUAAGCCGAAAGGUGUAGCCGUAGCGAAAGCGAGUCUUAAUAGGGCGACAAGUUGCAUGGGGUAGACCCGAAGCCGGGUGAUCUAUCCAUGACCAGGGUGAAGCGAAGGUAAUACUUCGUGGAGGCCCGAACCGAUAUAGGUUGAAAACUGUUCGGAUGAGUUGUGGCUAGGAGUGAAAGGCUAAUCAAACUCGGUGAUAGCUGGUUUUCCUCGAAAUAUAUUUAGGUAUAGCCUCGCAUGAUGACUGACGGAGGUAGAGCACUGACAAGACUAGGGGUCCCCACAGGAUUACCAACUCUUAUCAAACUCCGAAUGCCGUCAAGUUCAAGUGCGGGAGUCAGACUGCGGGAGAUAAGUUCCGUGGUCAAAAGGGAAAGAGCCCAGACCAUCAGCUAAGGUCCCUAAAUGCAUGCUAAGUGGUAAAGGAUGUGGAACUGUUUAGACAAUCAGGAGGUUGGCUUAGAAGCAGCAAUCCUUUAAAGAAAGCGUAAUAGCUCACUGAUCGAAUGGGUCUGCGCCGAAAAUUCAACGGGGCUUAAGCAUGCUACCGAAGCUAUGGAUAACGCGCAAGCGUUAUGGUAGAGGAACAUUGUAGUAACCUGAGAAGGUACACCGUAAGGAGUGCUGGAGGACCUACAAGAGCUUAUGCUGACACGAGUAGCGAAAAUGCGGGUGAGAAACCCGCACGCCGAAAACCUAAGGUUUCCUGAGUAAAGUUAAUCUGCUCAGGGUUAGUCGGCCCCUAAGGCGAGGCCGAGAGGCGUAGUCGAUGGAAAACGGGUUAAUAUCCCCGUACCAUUUUAUCAGCGUUUGAGCGAAGGGGGGACGCAGANNNNNNNNNNNNNNNNNNNNNNNNNNNNNNNNNNNNNNNNNNNNNNNNNNNNNNNNNNNNNNNNNNNNNNNNNNNNNNNNNNNNNNNNNNNNNNNNNNNNGGGUAGGUCAUCCGGGCGUUGGUUGUCCCGGUUUAAAUGUGUAGGCGGAGGACCCAGGCAAAUCCAGGUCCUUGUUAACGCUGAGGCAUGAUGACGAUGCGGUUUACCGCAAUAAAGUGAUUGAUCCCAUGCUGCCAGGAAAAGCCUCGUAGUGAGUUGAUAAAGUGACCGUACCGUAAACCGACACAGGUAGGUAGGAAGAGUAUUCCAAGGCGCUUGAGAGAACUCUGGUUAAGGAACUCGGCAAAAUAACACCGUAACUUCGGGAGAAGGUGUGCCCUCGUAGCGUGAAGUGACUUGCUCAUGGAGCGUAAGGGGGUUGCAGUGAAAUGGGGGGAGCGACUGUUUACUAAAAACACAGGACUCUGCGAAGUCGAAAGACGCAGUAUAGGGUCUGACGCCUGCCCGGUGCUGGAAGGUUAAGGGGAAAUGUUAGUCGCAAGGCGAAGCUUUGAACCGAAGCCCCAGUAAACGGCGGCCGUAACUAUAACGGUCCUAAGGUAGCGAAAUUCCUUGUCGGGUAAGUUCCGACCUGCACGAAUGGCGUAACGAUUUCCCCACUGUCUCAACCAGGGACUCAGCGAAACUGUAACACCGGUGAAGAUGCCGGUUACCCGCAUCAAGACAGAAAGACCCCGUGCACCUUUACUAUAGCUUGGCAUUGGAGUUUGGAAUAAUUUGUGUAGGAUAGGUGGGAGACUGUGAAGCAGGGACGCUAGUUCUUGCGGAGUCAACCUUGAAAUACCACCCUGAUUAUUUUAGGCUUCUAACCACGACCCGUAAUCCGGGUCUGGGACAGUGUCUGGUGGGUAGUUUGACUGGGGCGGUCGCCUCCUAAAGUGUAACGGAGGCGCGCGAAGGUUCCCUCAGGCUGAUUGGAAACCAGCCGUAGAGUGUAAAGGCAUAAGGGAGCUUGACUGCGAGACUGACAAGUCGAGCAGGUACGAAAGUAGGUCUUAGUGAUCCGGCGAUCCCGUAUGGAAGGGUCGUCGCUCAACGGAUAAAAGGUACGCCGGGGAUAACAGGCUUAUCUCCCCCAAGAGUCCAUAUCGACGGGGAGGUUUGGCACCUCGAUGUCGGCUCAUCGCAUCCUGGGGCUGGAGCAGGUCCCAAGGGUUUGGCUGUUCGCCAAUUAAAGCGGUACGCGAGCUGGGUUUAAAACGUCGUGAGACAGUUUGGUCCUUAUCUGAUGUGGGCGUAGGAUAUUUGAGGAGAGCUGUUCCUAGUACGAGAGGACCGGAAUGGACGAACCGCUGGUGCUCCUGUUGUCUCGCCAGAGGCAUGGCAGGGUAGCUACGUUCGGAAGGGAUAACCGCUGAAAGCAUCUAAGCGGGAAGCCUACUCCAAGAUUAGAUAUCCCGUGGGAUAACCCACCUAAAGGCUCGUUGAAGACUACAACGUUGAUAGGCCAGAUGUGGAAGUGUGGCAACACACGGAGCUUACUGGUACUAAUAAGCCGUGCGGCUUGACCAU
rnacentral:rRNA from 1 species